GCCCUGGUAGCACAACAGUAAAGCGUUCGGCUGUUAACUGAAAGGUUGGUGGUUUGAACCCACCCAAGGGUU
rnacentral:tRNA from 1 species